rnacentral:rRNA from 1 species
GUGGGGAAUAUUGGGCAAUGGGCGCAAGCCUGACCCAGCAACGCCGCGUGAGGGAAGAAGGCUUUCGGGUUGUAAACCUCUGUCCUUGGUGACGAAAAAAAUGACGGUAGCCAAGGAGGAAGCCCCGGCUAACUACGUGCCAGCAGCCGCGGUAAUACGUAGGGGGCGAGCGUUGUCCGGAAUUACUGGGCGUAAAGGGUGCGUAGGUGGCCUUUUAAGUUGGAUGUGAAAUCCCCGGGCUUAACUUGGGUGGUGCAUCUAAUACUGGAGGGCUAGAGUGCAGGAGAGGGAAGCGGAAUUCCUAGUGUAGCGGUGAAAUGCGUAGAUAUUAGGAGGAACACCAGUGGCGAAGGCGGCUUUCUGGACUGUAACUGACACUGAGGCACGAAAGCGUGGGGAGCAAACAGGAUUAGAAACCCCAGUAGUCC